rnacentral:lncRNA from 1 species
AUGAAUAUUGAUGAUCUUCCUCAACAUCUGUUGGUUGAAAUCCUUUGUCGACUUCCUCGCAAUAAAAUCGUUUUUCAAUGUAAGUGUGUGUCUAAACGUUGGUCUGCUGUAAUCUCGAAUUCUUAUUUUGUCCUACGCUUUCUCUCUGUGCGAAAAGGUACAACUGAGGACACAUUAUUUUUUGAGGCAACCAAACGAAAUAACACAUUAUUUUUUGAGGCAACCAAACGAAAUAAACGAGAUAAGGAAUUUGUUACCAUGUGCGCACUUUCGUCUGGGUUCAGGACCCGCAAGUUCUUUCUUAGUUUCGUCCCUGGCUUUGGUCGGCUAGCUGUGGUCGCGACGUAUAAUGAUUUAAUCUUGUGCUGCCCAGAGGAUGGUCUUUCACGUGAUUACUACAUCUGUAAUCCAUACACCAAGCAAUGGGUUGCUCUUCCUCCAGCACCAAGAGUUCAUCGAGCAGUAGCAAAAACGGGAUUCAUAUGCGACGGUGCCUACUAUAACUGCAAGGAGCUCGAAGGUGAUCGUAUAACUAGUACAAAUGCUGGCAUCGAGCUUAAUUCUGAGUAUAGGUACAGAGUUGUGAACCGAAUUCGUCAGCGUGGACCGAAUCCCUCGCACUUCAGGGUGGAGAUCUUCUCAUCGGAGACCGGUGAAUGGACACAGUCAGUUAUACAAUGCCCCCAAGACUUCCUUAACUUUGAUGACAUCAAUCCGGUAAUGCUUGCCUACAAAGGAAUGUUGUAUUGGUCUGCUAAUGGUGGAAUUCUUAUGGCGUUGGAUCCCUUCAACAACAACCCUAAGACCACAAGUGGUAGUGGUAGUACUAGUGCUUAUAUUUUUGAGAAUCAAUUCUGUCGUUUCACUGCAUUUGAUAAGCCUGCUUUUGCACCCGAAGACACUGAUAUAUGUCUUCAGUGUCUAAGCGUGUGCCAAGGGCGUUUACGGAUGUGCUACUCAGGGACUGGCAAGACUCGGAGUGUUUGGGAGUGGAAAGAAGUACAAGAGCAGUCGCAUGGGGGCAAAUUAAUGAAAUGGUUUUUGAUAAAAAAGUUUUCGUGGCAUCAACUGGUUACGGAGAAUAAUCCAGUAAUUAGUAUGUACGCAUUGUGGCGGACUAGGGUGUUGGCUUUAGACCCAAAAGAUGAGGAUAUCUUAUAUGUAGCUCUGGAUGGAGAUAUU